UACGUAGGGGGCAAGCGUUGUCCGGAUUUAUUGGGCGUAAAGAGCGUGUAGGCGGCUUGGUAGGUCCGCUGUGAAAACUCGAGGCUCAACCUCGAGAUGUCGGCGGAAACCACUUGGCUAGAGUCCGGAAGAGGAGAGUGGAAUUCCUGGUGUAGCGGUGAAAUGCGCAGAUAUCAGGAAGAACACCUAUGGCGAAGGCAGCUCUCUGGGACGGUACUGACGCUGAGACGCGAAA
rnacentral:rRNA from 1 species